UUGAACGCUGGCGGCAGGCCUAACACAUGCAAGUCGAGCGGUAGCACAGAGAGCUUGCUCUCGGGUGACGAGCGGCGGACGGGUGAGUAAUGUCUGGGAAACUGCCUGAUGGAGGGGGAUAACUACUGGAAACGGUAGCUAAUACCGCAUAACGUCGCAAGACCAAAGUGGGGGACCUUCGGGCCUCAUGCCAUCAGAUGUGCCCAGAUGGGAUUAGCUAGUAGGUGGGGUAACGGCUCACCUAGGCGACGAUCCCUAGCUGGUCUGAGAGGAUGACCAGCCACACUGGAACUGAGACACGGUCCAGACUCCUACGGGAGGCAGCAGUGGGGAAUAUUGCACAAUGGGCGCAAGCCUGAUGCAGCCAUGCCGCGUGUGUGAAGAAGGCCUUCGGGUUGUAAAGCACUUUCAGCGGGGAGGAAGGCGAUAAGGUUAAUAACCUUGUCGAUUGACGUUACCCGCAGAAGAAGCACCGGCUAACUCCGUGCCAGCAGCCGCGGUAAUACGGAGGGUGCAAGCGUUAAUCGGAAUUACUGGGCGUAAAGCGCACGCAGGCGGUCUGUCAAGUCGGAUGUGAAAUCCCCGGGCUCAACCUGGGAACUGCAUUCGAAACUGGCAGGCUAGAGUCUUGUAGAGGGGGGUGGAAUUCCAGGUGUAGCGGUGAAAUGCGUAGAGAUCUGGAGGAAUACCGGUGGCGAAGGCGGCCCCCUGGACAAAGACUGACGCUCAGGUGCGAAAGCGUGGGGAGCAAACAGGAUUAGAUACCCUGGUAGUCCACGCCGUAAACGAUGUCGAUUUGGAGGUUGUGCCCUUGAGGCGUGGCUUCCGGAGCUAACGCGUUAAAUCGACCGCCUGGGGAGUACGGCCGCAAGGUUAAAACUCAAAUGAAUUGACGGGGGCCCGCACAAGCGGUGGAGCAUGUGGUUUAAUUCGAUGCAACGCGAAGAACCUUACCUGGUCUUGACAUCCACAGAACUUUCCAGAGAUGGAUUGGUGCCUUCGGGAACUGUGAGACAGGUGCUGCAUGGCUGUCGUCAGCUCGUGUUGUGAAAUGUUGGGUUAAGUCCCGCAACGAGCGCAACCCUUAUCCUUUGUUGCCAGCGGUUAGGCCGGGAACUCAAAGGAGACUGCCAGUGAUAAACUGGAGGAAGGUGGGGAUGACGUCAAGUCAUCAUGGCCCUUACGACCAGGGCUACACACGUGCUACAAUGGCAUAUACAAAGAGAAGCGACCUCGCGAGAGCAAGCGGACCUCAUAAAGUAUGUCGUAGUCCGGAUUGGAGUCUGCAACUCGACUCCAUGAAGUCGGAAUCGCUAGUAAUCGUAGAUCAGAAUGCUACGGUGAAUACGUUCCCGGGCCUUGUACACACCGCCCGUCACACCAUGGGAGUGGGUUGCAAAAGAAGUAGGUAGCUUAACCUUCGGGAGGGCGCUUACCACUUUGUGAUUCAUGACUGGGGUG
rnacentral:rRNA from 1 species